AAACGGAUGAUUGUCAUUUUAGAAGAAGAAGAAUCUUCAUCUAAAUUAAUCGAUGAAGGUUCGUUUGGCUCCGACUGCUGGCUGCUGUCAGCGGAUGGAGUAGCCGGCGGAGCGACGAACGUCGGAGGCGGGCGGACGCGGAUUUCGUACGGCGACGAGUAGACGUCGUUGCCGAGAGCAGCGGACGAUUUCGGCGGAGUCUUGACGGGUUUCCCACUGGUCAAUUUCGUCGGCAAUUUGAAUUCGCCGCGCAUAAUCUUCUCCCACACUGAAAUAAUAAU